rnacentral:sRNA from 1 species
GACCGCUGACGGGAUUUAUCCCCGAGGCCAAGGCCAUACGGACAGCCGGGUCGAAUGCCGA